GGGGGUCGGCCUCGUAAAAACGCCAAAGCCAUAACUGGCAAAACGAAUAACAACCUCGCUCUAGCUGCCUAAUCAGCUUUAGCGGUCCCUCCCUCCAUCGCCCAUGUGGUAGGAUCAGGGACUCACUCUAGUGGGAUACGCCGGAAGCCCGCAUCCUGAGGGCCAUGGAAGAGAAUAAUCGGGAUAGCCUCGCGAAA
rnacentral:sRNA from 1 species